CUUUCUGUGGACGUUUAUUUGUUUUUUUUACUUAAAAGAUUCGUUUUUUGUUUUUCUUUUCUGGUUACUAAAUGCUGUUUUGUCUUGAAAAAUCGAUGCUGUUUUAUCUCAAAUCGACUAUAAAUAGAACAUGUACCAUGUAUUGCAUUAAGAGUGUGCAAGGGCUCGAGAUUGUAAUAUAAAAUUCAGUGUUCGAAAAAUCGGCCUAGGCGGCAGGACACUUAACCCUAAUCGUUAGGGGUAGGCGCCAGGGAGUUAGGCAGCCUGGGCGGGUCUGGGCGGGUCGGGUGGCUGCUUCUCUACUCUUCUCGACCCAACCAGUGGCAGCGAUGGCUUCUUCUAAAAUUGAAAAAGAGUGAAGUGAAGCGAAAAGAAAGUCUUCUAGGUUUGGUGGGACUGCUCUACCUGAAUGAUUUGGCAAACUACCCUGUGAGUUUUAUGUUUUGCAAUGGGCAUCGAUUUCAGAAAUUCACAUUGACAAAGGUUGAAUGUUUGUUUUCCUGGUAUGUGCCAGCUGCCAAAUGAUCAAAUUUGUGUGCAAUGAGCCUCCUGCCUGGAAUUUUGCAUGUUUAAAUGCAUUUUUCUUUACUUUACUUUAACCCCAUAGAUUUUCCUUGGGAUGAAUUGCUUUCCUUAAUUAAGCGGGUAUAAAGGCUGCCUACGUCUGAUCUGCCAUUGUGAGAGUCUUGUGAACUAGGCCACCGUUCUUUUUCAUUUUCCUUGGGAAGCUUAUGGUAGACUGCAUUUCAUUAUCCAGUCCCUUGAUUGUUUGACUUUAGUUUUUCUUUUUCUUUUUCGAGACUGCAUUUGUACCUCUUAUACCAAGCGAUUUCAUUUUUUAUGGUGUUUUAAUGUGUUAAAGUUAUGUGAGAGUUUGUAUUAUGUUGACUCUCACCUUCUCAAUCAUGGUACUAGUGCUAGCUUUUGAACAUGAA